UAUCAGGCUCGAACCUCAGCCCACGACACCUAGCAUCGCCACACCCACAAGGGUCUACAGCAGUGAUUAACAUUGACCAUAAGCGAAAGCUUGAUUCAGUCAGGGUAAAUAGAGCCGGCAAAUCUGGUGCCAGCCGCCGCGGCCACACCACGGGCUCAAAUUGAUUUCACUCGGCGUAAAGCGUGGUUAAAGAUAGCUUAAACUGCAGUUAAACUGGGGCUAAAGCGUAGAACCUUUGUAACCAGGAAAGGCAAAAACGAAAGUCACUGCAAAUUAACCCACUUGACCCCACGAC
rnacentral:rRNA from 1 species